GCUGCAGAACAGACAUGCGCACGCUGCACUUCGGCAAAGCCUCAGAGGCAGCCCCUGGCCCGGUUGUGAGCUGCCGACCCAGGCCCUUAGGGCUACUGAGGUCCUUACUUAGGAGAUUCCAAAAAGAGAUAUGACCGCCAGCGUUUCUUCAGUCCUCUCUGACAAAGAAGACGAUGCAUCUUCAUGGUGAUCUCAGCGCUUCUGAUGCCAUUUGGAAAUUCGGAAACGGCUCAUUUAUAUCUGUGAGCCAUAACUUAAUCAUCUUUGAAGCUGUUUCCAGGAGGACAUUUUAAAUUUCUGUUAUGAUUAUCAGUGGCAUAUACAAGAAAUAACCUAAGGUUCUGCAGAUACAAAGAUGAAGACACCAUCGAUGCUUUGGAAUAGCCUGGAGCUUAGUCAAUACAGUGCUCAUGCGAACAAGAUGAAAACCCAGCAGGCUAACCACUAAAGGGCAGAGUGUACUGUGCACGCAGGGGCUCUGGAAUUUGGGAAAGGCCUCCCAGCAGAAGAGGAGCCUCAGCUGAGCCUCUAAGGAUGGUUGAAUGCAAGUUAAUCAGGUACACUGCUCAGAAACUCUGGGGGCAGAGACCCCGCAAUCUGCUGAUACCAGCCUUCCAGGUGAUCCUCAUGUAGCUAAGACCUGUUGCAUCAUCGUGAGUUAUCUAUGUCCUUGGAACUCACACAUGACCAGUGGAAGUGCCUAUCUGGUAUUAGAAUGGAGAAUCAAAAGUGAUUUUCAUACCAAGAAAAAAUUUGGCUUUGUUCUAAACAUGCUUUUCAUGGAAGUAUAUUCAGUGGGUGAUCUAAGGUUAUGUAUGAUUACAGUGUCUUCAUAGGUGAUAAUUCCAUAGUUCCAGAAUGACUAUAAAAGGUCAUGUA